rnacentral:rRNA from 1 species
AUGGCACAGCUACUACCACCAAGCCAGGCAUGCAAGAAGGCACCUGCCAGGAGAAUUCCCACUUCCAAACCUAGGAAGGUUGCCACUGGUGAAACAAUGAAGUUCACCAUUGAGUCUGAUGAAGAAGCUGCUGGCCAAGAUAAGAAGAAGAAGAGAGUCAGAACUACUACUGCCAAAGUCCUUGGCAAGCCCUCUAUGAGGAGAUCUUCUGAUGAGGAAGAAGAAGAGGAAGAGGAUGCUGCACCAGCUCCUAAAGCUCAGAAGCUAAUGGGAGAUGUAAUCAAGUCAGGGGCUGCUCCAUCUAAGCCCAAAGAUGCUCCCAAGGCUGCUGCUCCAGCACCAAAGCCUAAACCCAAGAGGAACACCAGAAAUAUUCCUGCAUCUGAGAAGAACAAGGCCCCAGUGCCUGAAGCUACUGAGUAA